GACGAACGCUGGCGGCGUGCUUAACACAUGCAAGUCGAACGGAAAGGCCCUGCUUUUGUGGGGUGCUCGAGUGGCGAACGGGGGAGUAACACGUGAGUAACCUGCCCCUGACUUUGGGAUAACUUCAGGAAACUGGGGCUAAUACCGGAUAGGAGCUCCUGCUGCAUGGUGGGGGUUGGAAAGUUUCGGCGGUUGGGGAUGGACUCGAGGCUUUUCGGCUUGUUGGUGGGGUAGUGGCUUACCAAGGCUUUGACGGGUAGCCGGCCUGGGAGGGUGACCGGCCACAUUGGGACUGGGGUGCGGCCCGGACUCCUACGGGAGGCAGCGGUGGGGAAUUUUGCACAAUGGGCGGAAGCCUGAUGCAGCAACGCCGCGUGCGGGAUGACGGCCUUCGGGUUGUAAACCGCUUUCGCCUGUGACGAAGCGUGAGUGACGGUAAUGGGUAAAGAAGCACCGGCUAACUACGUG
rnacentral:rRNA from 1 species